GACGAACGCUGGCGGCGUGCUUAACACAUGCAAGUCGAACGGAAAGGCCCUGCUUUUGUGGGGUGCUCGAGUGGCGAACGGGGGAGUAACACGUGAGUAACCUGCCCUUGACUUUGGGAUAACUUCAGGAAACUGGGGCUAAUACCGGAUAGGAGCUCCUGCUGCAUGGUGGGGGUUGGAAAGUUUCGGCGGUUGGGGAUGGACUCGCGGCUUAUCAGCUUGUUGGUGGGGUAGUGGCUUACCAAGGCUUUGACGGGUAGCCGGCCUGAGAGGGUGACCGGCCACAUUGGGCCUGAGAUACGGCCCAGACUCCUACGGGCGGCAGCAGUGGGGAAUAUUGCACAAUGGGCGGAAGCCUGAUGCAGCAACGCCGCGUGCGGGAUGCCGGCCUUCGGGUUGUAAACCGCUUUCGCCUGUGACGAAGCGUGAGUGACGGUAAUGGGUAAAGAAGCACCGGCUAACUACGUG
rnacentral:rRNA from 1 species